AUACGAGGGGUUGGAGCUAGGCUAGCAGUUUCAUCCCUGCUUCCAGUCUUUGUGCUAAGCUAGGCUAAGCAAGUCCAUCC